GUUUAAUGAUUAAAAUUUAGGGUUUAGUAUUUGGAAGGUGGGGGUUGAUGUUUGGGUUUAGUGACCGUAUUAUGUAUGUUCCAUUUGACGAUUAAAAAAUAGUGUUUUUUUUUGCUUACCAAUUUAUACUAUACUAUGUAUUUUGUUCCAUUCUAUUUGAGUUUAUAGUCUAUACUUGGGUUUAGGGUUUAGUGAUUAGGAUUUAGGGUUUAGUAUUUGGAAGGUGGGAGUUUAGGUUUGGGUUCAGUGAAGAGUUUAGGGUUCAGUAAUUGGGGUUUAGGGUUUAGUAUUUAGAUGGAAGGGUGAUGUUUAAAGUUUAGGGUUUAUUAUUUUGGAGUUGAGGUUUGGAUUAUAGUUUAGUAUUUACUAGGUGUGAGUGGAUUUUGAAUCCUAUUAUUUUUAGUAAUAUGAUAUAGAAAAAUUAGAUGUAUAUUUAUGUGUUAAAAAAAGUUUGGUGUUGAUUGAAUUACGUGUGAUAAUUAAUUAUGGGGUGUCAAAUUGUUGAUGUCAUCAGUUUCUCUCUCUAUUACUGACAACUUGAAUUAAAAAAGGGUAUUACCGGAUAGAAGUUGACAUAAUUGUUAUGGGCUUUAUUAUGUCAAAAUCAAUGCUAUGCACUUAAUUUC
rnacentral:lncRNA from 1 species